AUUGAACGCUGGCGGCAUGCCUUACACAUGCAAGUCGAACGGUAACAGGUUAAGCUGACGAGUGGCGAACGGGUGAGUAAUACAUCGGAACGUGCCCAGACGUGGGGGACAGCUCGGCGAAAGCCGGAUUAAUACCGCAUAAGCUCUGAGGAGGAAAGCGGGGGACCGUAAGGCCUCGCGCGUUUGGAGCGGCCGAUGGCAGAUUAGGUAGUUGGUGGGGUAAAGGCUUACCAAGCCUACGAUCUGUAGCUGGUCUGAGAGGACGACCAGCCACACUGGGACUGAGACACGGCCCAGACUCCUACGGGAGGCAGCAGUGGGGAAUUUUGGACAAUGGGCGCAAGCCUGAUCCAGCAAUGCCGCGUGCAGGAUGAAGGCCUUCGGGUUGUAAACUGCUUUUGUACGGAACGAAAAGGCGCCUACUAAUACUGGGUGUUGAUGACGGUACCGUAGGAAUAAGCACCGGCUAACUACGUGCCAGCAGCCGCCGUAAGAC
rnacentral:rRNA from 1 species